CCUCGAAUCAGGUGGGACUACCCGCUGAACUUAAGCAUAUCAAUAAGCGGAGGAAAAGAAACUAACAAGGAUUCCCCUAGUAACGGCGAGUGAAGCGGGAUGAGCUCAAAUUUAAAAUCUGAUAGUCUUUGGCUGUCCGAGUUGUAAUCUAGAGAAGUGUUUUCCGCGUUGGACCAUGUACAAGUUUCCUGGAACGGAACGUCAUAGAGGGUGAGAAUCCCGUCCUUGACAUGGACUACCAGUGCUUUGUGAUACACUCUCAACGAGUCGAGUUGUUUGGGAUUGCAGCUCAAAAUGGGAGGUAAAUUCCUUCUAAAGCUAAAUAUUGGCGAGAGACCGAUAGCGAACAAGUACCGUGAGGGAAAGAUGAAAAGCACUUUGGAAAGAGAGUUAAACAGUACGUGAAAUUGUUAAAAGGGAAACGAUUGAAGUCAGUCGCGUUUACUUGGACUCAGCCUUACCUCGGUUUGGUGCAUUUCCUUGUGAACGGGCCAGCGUCAAUGUUGUCCGUUGGAAAAGGGUUGGAGAAAUGUGGCUCUUUCGGGUGUGUUAUAGUCUCUGAUCGUAUACAACGGCUGAUAUUGAGUGGUACAGCAUGCUUCGGCGGUGCUUGUGCUGGCAUAAU
rnacentral:rRNA from 1 species